GGUGAUAUAGUUUAAUGGUUAAAAACAAUUAUCUCAUACGUAAUAAAUAGAGGUUCAAUUCCUUUUUUCACCC
rnacentral:tRNA from 3 species